GCCGGGUGUGGUGCUGCGCACCUGUAAUCCCAGCUCCUCAGGAGGCUGAGGCAGGAGACUCGCUUGAACUCGGGGGGCAGAGGUUGCAGUGAGCUGAGAUUGCACCACUGCACUCCAGCCUGGGUGACAGAGUGAGACUCUGUCUCAA
rfam:Homo sapiens chromosome 2, GRCh38 reference primary assembly.